CAUGAUGACAGAGAUGAUGGUGUGGAUUAUUGGGCCAAAAGAGGAAGAGGUCGUGGUACUUUCCAGCGUGGCAGAGGGCGCUUUAAUUUCAAAAAAUCAGGUAGCAGUCCAAAAUGGACUCAUGACAAAUACCAAGGGGAUGGGAUUGUUGAAGAUGAAGAAGAGACCAUGGAAAAUAAUGAAGAAAAGAAGGACAGACGCAAAGAAGAAAAGGACUAGUCUCAAGAUUGCGACAGAGAGCAGAACUUGUUGACACUCAACAUUUUUUAAGUCUGAUUUUUGUUUUCAAAUAAGAAUGUAAACAUUUUAUUUACAAUUUACUGUUUGCAAGUAGUCUAUAGAAAUUUUCUUUUAAGUCUUCAAAUACCUUGAAAAAAUAGUAGACUGUAUGUUGAAAAUUGUACUGAAAUAAAGUAGAAAAUGUUCCUUACCAUAUUUGUAACUAUCAACUUUUAAAAACCUUUGACUGUUUUUGUUACAUGCAUUGUAUUUCUGCUUUGUCUAUAAGAAAUGGUCAAUUCCAGCUCCGUGACAGCUUGGAUUCUCUUGACUCCCUGUUUGUUAAUGUUUGAUUCUGAAGUAAACGUUAGCUCUACACAAAUCCACACAAACCCUCAAACAGGAGUUGUUUAUAGUGACCACACUAAUUAUUUAACUGUACACAUCUGUUUAACAUCUUUUUUAAAUUUGAACACUACAUUGUAGGGCGACUAAUUUUUGAAAGUACUAUGAAAAUUGCUAUUCUGGAAAACUAAAAUUAGUUUCACACUUCAGCAAAUAUAUAAGGACAAUAACUUUGUUAGUGGCCAAAAAGUACAAAUUACUAAAAGUUAGAAAGGUUUGUGAAAGUGGUAUUUUUACUGAAAGCAAGCAGUGGCUUGUAAAAUCAUUUUAAGAGCCUGUAUGAAUUCAAAACUGAAUAUUCUCUUCCAUUCUCAUUUAAUAGUUUGAGUCAUGGUCUUAGAUAUCAGCUACCUAAGAGAGAGAGAAACUGGUUUGUAAUAUGAGUGUAAGAAAAAAUCCUAAUUCCACAGACCUGAUUGUUUUUUUUUUUUUUUUUUUUACAAAAACAAAUCAAAACUUGGGAGUCCUAUUUAUUUGGAAGAUUAUCCUAAAGCAUAAUUUGAUGCACUCAGUCAUUAAGUACCUGACUGGAUAGCUUGCAUAUUUCUUGGAUACUCUGACCAGCUGUAAAUUAGUUGAUAAUUUAAGCAUAUAAUUAGAUAGUUCCAACAUAAUGUCUAAUAGUUAAAUAACUUGUUUUUUCUUAAUGUUACCAAUAAAAGAUUUUGGCAGAAGAUUUGUACCAUUAAUCUAACUGCCCAUUUAUAAAAUGACCUUUUUCUUUUCAAGUGGUCUGACUUACCUAAGGAGAUAUAUACUCUUCUUUGUUACUUAAUAGCAAAGGAAUAAAGUUCAUGCUAAGACUGAUUUUUUUUUAAAUAAACCUAUAAAACUAGCCACAUUGCAUCAGAUUAGUUGUAUAUUUUUGCAAUUAAAGGAGAUAAUGCUUAUUCUAUUAAUGUAAACUUUUAAAGCUUGUAAGUGUGUGGCUCAUUCAUUCUCUUUUGAUGAUUUGCAAUAUGUCUUAGAUGUUGAAUUGCUAAGAACUGUUGGCAACAUACUUAAACUAAAACCAUGUCAACAUUUGUUGUGUUUAUCUCACUCAGUAUUGCAUGAUUUCUCCCGUUAAUUGUCUAUCUGGAAUUAUUUAGUAAAUCAGAAAUAAUCUGCAAAUCAACUUUAUUGUGUCAACCUGGACAUAAUUAGUACCAUCCUCUUCAGAUUAAGACUUAAAUAUAAAAGUAAUAUGUAUUUAAUUCCCUAAUGUUUUUCAUACCAUUCUAUUUUAUAUGAAUACAUUUAACUCUUAUUUUAACAGUUAUUUGGUUACACACUGAAUCUCGGCAUGUUUACCUUUACUUUUUCUACAACAGAGAAAAGUAAAUUUACUGAAAAAUAAUUUAAUAGAGAGUAAAGUCCUAUUUUAAGUACGAUUUCAGUACUGUACCCUUUGGUUACUUUGAUUUUAAAGUUAUAGAUAGAAAAGCCCACUACAUUAAAGUGUGGUGAUAAGAAUCCUGCAGUAGAACACUGCUGUGAAUCUUCUCUUUUUCAGGGCCACACAUACAACAGCCUGUAUGUAUUUUUUGAGAUCACUAUUUAGUUUCACAUGUCAUAACAUGUUACAAAGGCCGAAUGGUUCCUCUUGGUAAAGCUGCUUGAUUAUAAGUGCUAGGAAAAUAACUGUUAAGAGCUGCAUUGAUGUACUUCUUUGCCCAGAGAAAGAAAUAAAAAUGAACCAAAGGAUUUUACAAGAAAAAAAAGCAGUUUCAGAAGACCAUGACUCAAUUCUUAGGUGGGUAUGCUCUUCAACAUCUUAGGAGUUUUAAAAAACAGCAAAGUCUCUUCCAGUUGCACUCCAUUUCAAGGCAUUGUUAUUGUUCCCUUUUGUUACAGUUAAAAUCAGUGUUGGGAUAUAAAUUAUAAUUUGAGGCAAAAUUUUACCCCAUGAGAAUGAAUGUAGAUGGCUAAACGAUUCUUACUCAGUGUGGUGUACAUUUCAGCAGGGACCCUUGUAAAUUGUCAUAUGCCAAUAAAAUGUCCUAAGUGGUGACAG